GCUGGGGGUGAAAGGCCAAUCAAACCGGGAGAUAGCUGGUUCUCCCCGAAAGCUAUUUAGGUAGCGCCUCGUGAACUCAUCUUCGGGGGUAGAGCACUGUUUCGGCUAGGGGGCCAUCCCGGCUUACCAAACCGAUGCAAACUCCGAAUACCGAAGAAUGUUAUCACGGGAGACACACGGCGGGUGCUAACGUCCGUCGUGAAGAGGGAAACAACCCAGACCGCCAGCUAAGGUCCCAAAGUCAUGGUUAAGU
rnacentral:rRNA from 1 species